rnacentral:lncRNA from 1 species
UCUAUAUAACGUCAAGUACAUAUAAAUAUAUCUACACAUAUAUAAAACAUGUUUAUUUUAUGCAUUUAGUUCUAUAUAUAUAUUUUUUUAAUUUAUUAAAUUAUUUUUCCUUUUUUUUAUUUAAAAAUUAUUAACCAAUGAACAAAUGGAAAAAUUCAAGAGCCCUUUAAUGAAUAAAAAUAUAAGUGAUGUUUUUAUUUCCUAUAAUGAUAUGAUACAAGACAACGAAUAUGAAAGUAGUUAUGGAUCAUACAAAGAUGUCAGUGACUUUUUGGAAAAUUCCGAAAGCUCAAGUAGUCAAUAUUCAAGUGAAAGUGAACCACUAAAAUUGUACAACUCACAUUUUACAAAUAGAAAAGCAAAUAUUCAGGAAACUAAUUCCGUUAAUGAUAUAUUUACAUGUGAAAAAGAAAAUAUAUUGAGACACUCUUACACAGAUAGUUAUAUAAAUGAAAUGGACAGUAUGGAGUGCUUUCCGUUUACAGAUUAUAAACACAAUACCACCAAUAUGAAUAAUAUAAGCGAAUUAGCGGAAUACCAAUGGAAACCAUAUGGUCGUAGUGUGCCUGACAUUUCUUCAAUAAACUUGACCCACAGAAAGGCAUGGGAUAUUGGAAGAGAAGGUUGUAACGGAAUACUCAUUAAAAGCAUUUUAGAUAGCUAUAAUAAAAAGAAACUGAAUUAUAUAUUACUGGAUGGUACUAAUAUAGACACAUUUUUAAUUGUUUUUUCUCACACAUAUCAAGAAAUUGUAAAAGGUGUUGAUCGACGUGUGAUAAAAACAUUCAGCUUUUAUGACAUACUUGAUGCUAACUUUAUGUUUGACACGAAAACUAUCCACAUCACUAAAAAAAAAAACAGAAAAAAAAAGAAAAGGUUAUAAUAAAAGGAUUAAGCGAUAAUUUUUUUAAUGCUAUAUUAGUUUGUAUGAACGAAAUAAUACGCUACCUUAGAAUUUCUAAUUUGAAAGGCACAUUGAUACAGAAAUUGAAUAAAAAAAAAAAAACAAAACGAAAAAAAAAAAGC